rnacentral:lncRNA from 1 species
GGGGGGUGAUCAGGAGGUGCACAGGAAUGGUUCAUGAAGUGGGUGUGGCCUAAGAUGAGGUGCUCAGUCUUUGAGUGCAGGUGUGUGUGCAUGUAUGAGUGGUGCAGCAACAGGAUGUUGCUGGGAAAAGCUGGGACUGGGGACUGAGGCAGCCUAAAUCCAGAAGGUGCCUUUUUCAUCCAUACCAUUUUUCCCGAAUUCCAAGGGCCAUCUGUACCUGACUCACAUUCCUUGGUUCCCCUUCAUGAAAAGAAACAAUGAAAAGGGAACAGUGUGGGUGGAUCUGAGAGAUUUCCCACCACACCCGCAAAAGAUGACAGGAUCGCUGAGACCUCAUCAUUUCAAGGCCAUGGGAAACUACAGCAACUGAAGACACACAAGCAUCCAGUUCAACUGGUCUACAGCCUGAGAGCAGGUUGGGGAUAAAUCACCGCCGGCACUCAGCAGGCAUACUGUGGGCAGAGAGGGUAACGAGCGCUUCCGACUGAGGCACUGUGGCGAAGGUGCGUGCCAUUCAGCACAAAUGCCCCCAGUUAAUUGAGUGUGUGUGUUCUGAUCUGCAGGGAGGUCGUUGAACAGAACAGAUCUUGCCACGGUGCAUUUUUACAGUUAAUAAACCAGCAGGUUGAGGGCA